UACGGGGGGGCAAGCGUUGUUCGGAAUUACUGGGCGUAAAGGGCUCGUAGGCGGCCAUCUAAGUCGGACGUGAAAUCCCUCGGCUUAACCGGGGAACUGCGUCCGAUACUGGAGGGCUUGAGUGUGGGAGAGGUGAGUGGAACUGCGAGUGUAGAGGUGAAAUUCGUAGAUAUUCGCAAGAACACCAGUGGCGAAGGCGGCUCACUGGCCCGGUACUGACGCUGAGGUGCGAAAGCAUGGGGAGCAAACAGG
rnacentral:rRNA from 1 species